GGCAGGCUAUGCUGGUUAUAACAGAAUAAAAAAAAAAAAUGCAAAUAUAUUGAUUGAAAGAAAAUGUUGAAAGGAGUGUUUCAAAUAUUGUGUGUCUAAUGGAUAAUUUUUUCAAAUAUGUAACAAUAUAUGCCACAAUUUCUUUUUUAGAUGUUUCUACUCAUCUAAUUUACGGGAACAAAAACUGUCAACAUUAAGUGAUGAACGCAUAAAUAGAGCUAUCCAAAAAUGUGAAGAGCCAGUAGCAGACUGGAAAAAGUUUGAUGUUCGAGUCCUCUCAAGAACUGGCAAAUCUUUGGUGAUACAGAUUCUGACAGUGAGUCAGAGGGUGGUAUAAAGAGGAGAUACCACAAUCUCCACUUGUCUACUGCCACCUAUUCCUCCACCUACUCCUGACAUACCAUCAACUGAAACCUGACAGACUUCCGUUAGACCUCUGCCAGAUCUGAGGCAGAUUGAAUCUUCUUCUUUCACUGGUAUAUUCCUGCAUUUCUGUUAAAUUAUUUUGUAAGCAAUGUUUUUGUUAAUAUCUAGCUGUUUAGUUGUAACAUUAACAUAACAGUAUUAAGUCAAGUUACUAUUAUGGGACUGAUGCAGUUAAUGUAACUUCAUGUGCUCAGUGACUCUGACCGGUUUUAGCUGGUCAUACUUGAAGGAUUUAUUAGUAUGAUACUGAAUUAUUAUAUGAUGUGUUAUUCACUUAAAAAAUCUAAUUAUUGUCAUUUUCAUGUUUCACAGCAGCACCACCUGUCCCCUUUAAUACAGCUGGAAUGCCUUCCAGUCCUCUACGCCACUGCUCUGUUGGAUAUGUCCCAGAUCUGUUGCCUCCUGAAGAUGGAAAUUAUACAGUGCCUCCAGUUGCUACGCCUACCUCUCACAGGCCAUCAAGCUCUAUGGGCCACAUCUCUGCCAUGCCUCAAAUGUCAAAUGAGCAUUCCUUCAGGCCCACGUUUAGACUGGGGAAGACGGGCACUGGACCUAUUCCUUGCUCUGGUAAAAUCCUUUAAAUAUAAAACAUUCUGUGACUACAAUUUUUCAAAUGAUAUAGAUUAAGAAAACUUUGUAUUUUUGGUCUUUAAAUGCUUCCUUAACUCUUUUUGUAGCUGCA
ensembl:lncRNA